GAGAAGUAAGUAAGAGCACACGGGGGAUGCCUAGGGUCUCAGAGGCGAAGAAGGACGCGAUAAGCUGCGAUAAGGCUGGGGGAGGGGCACAUACCCGCUAUAUCCCAGCAUUUCCGAAUGGGGCAACCCCAUCGGUUGAAGACCGAUGACCACUUCCGUAUGGGACUGGGGCAAACGUUGGGAACUGAAACAUCUCAGUACCGACAGGAAAAGAAAAUAAGAAUGAUUCCCCAAGUAGUGGCGAGCGAACGGGGAGGAGCCCAAACCACGGCGGUUACGGCCGCUGUGGGGUUGUAGGACUGCAACAUCUGAUUGAAUCGAGUUAACUGAAGCGUGUGGGAAAACGCAGCAUAGAGGGUGAGACUCCCGUAAGUGACAUUUCUGAUUCACGAUAGCAGUAUCCUGAGUAGGGCGGGGCCGGAGAAACCCCGUCUGAAGCGAGCGGCACCAUCCGCUAAGGCUACAUACUCCUGAGACACCGAUAGUGAACUAGUAC
rnacentral:rRNA from 1 species